rnacentral:tRNA from 1 species
GUUGUGGCUCAGAGGUAGAGCACUCGUCUACCAUGUGGGAAGCCCUGGGUUCGAUCCUCUGCACCACA